CAUAUAAUCAACCAUUUCUACAGCUACAGUCACUGCCAGCCAUAUCAUAGCACUGAAAAAAUAACACAUAUUUUAAGCUUUUUUUAAAGUAAAACAGAAGAUUUGACGAUAUUUGUAUUUUAAUCAUAUAGCGUGACGUUUUACUACAAGGAGAUACAAUGCAUUUUACAUUACAAAAGCGAAAUAAGACGUGGAUGCCAGCUAUCAACUUAAGCAUCGUGGGAUUGGUGGUUUAUAUUAUGGAGAUAAAGCGCAGUGAAUCACAAAAAGCAUCAUUCCAGCGUCCCAACGCCUGAUCUAAACCGAAACAACGUGUGGKGUGGAGUGGAUGGACGCUGACGCACGGACACCGCGUAUCUCCAUCAUCUCUGCACUAGAGACGCAUCGCUAGCAACAUCGCCUUGCGUUCAGGCUAUUUGUAAACAGGCCUUGAAUCUGAAAUAAAUMGUCGUUUCUCCUCAAURACA